UAAAAAAAGGUAAGCUACUAAGAGCGAAUGGUGGAUGCCUUGACUGGUAAAGGCGAUGAAGGACGUACUAGACUGCGAUAAGCUACGGGGAGCUGUCAAGAAGCUUUGAUCCGUAGAUUUCCGAAUGGGGCAACCCAAUGUAUAGAGAUAUACAUUACCUAUAUAGGAGCGAACGAGGGGAAUUGAAACAUCUUAGUACCCUCAGGAAAAGAAAUCAAUAGAGAUUGCGUCAGUAGCGGCGAGCGAAAGCGCAAGAGGGCAAACCCAGUGCUUGCACUGGGGGUUGUAGGACUGCAAUGUGCAAGAGGUGAGUUUAGCAGAACAUUCUGGAAAGUAUAGCCAUAGAGGGUGAUAGUCCCGUAUGCGAAAAACAAACCUUAGCUAGCAGUAUCCUGAGUAGGGCGGGACACGAGGAAUCCUGUCUGAAUCCGGGUCGACCACGAUCCAACCCUAAAUACUAAUACCAGAUCGAUAGUGCACAAGUACCGUGAGGGAAAGGUGAAAAGAACUGAGGUGAUCAGAGUGAAAUAGAACCUGAAACCAUUUGCUUACAAUCAUUCAGAGCCCUAUGUAGCAAUACAGGGUGAUGGACUGCCUUUUGCAUAAUGAGCCUGCGAGUUGUGGUGUCUGGCAAGGUUAAGCAAACGCGAAGCCGUAGCGAAAGCGAGUCUGAAUAGGGCGCUUAGUCAGAUGCUGCAGACCCGAAACGAAGUGAUCUAUCCAUGAGCAAGUUGAAGCUAGUGUAAGAACUAGUGGAGGACUGAACCCAUAGGCGUUGAAAAGCCCCGGGAUGACUUGUGGAUAGGGGUGAAAGGCCAAUCAAACUUCGUGAUAGCUGGUUCUCUCCGAAAUAUAUUUAGGUAUAGCGUUGUGUCGUAAUAUAAGGGGGUAGAGCACUGAAUGGGCUAGGGCAUACACCAAUGUACCAAACCCUAUCAAACUCCGAAUACCUUAUAUGUAAUCACAGCAGUCAGGCGGCGAGUGAUAAAAUCCGUCGUCAAGAGGGAAACAACCCAGACUACCAGCUAAGGUCCCUAAAUCUUACUUAAGUGGAAAACGAUGUGAAGUUACUUAAACAACCAGGAGGUUGGCUUAGAAGCAGCCAUCCUUUAAAGAAAGCGUAAUAGCUCACUGGUCUAGUGAUUUUGCGCGGAAAAUAUAACGGGGCUAAAGU
rnacentral:rRNA from 1 species